rnacentral:lncRNA from 1 species
GAAACAUUGACAAGGUAAGUGAUUACAUAAAAGAAUUAUUCACCUUAGUUCAACAUCGCACACGAUGUUUCAGAUACCCGGUCCCACAUAGCAAAUUCUGUGUAUUUGAAUGAAUCUAAAAAUAGCACUAAUCGGCUGCCGUUACUACGCUCAUUGAUCGCUGUAGUAAACAAUCACAGCUGAUCUUACUACUUCCAUUCAUUACUGAAACAACAAUCCGUUACGCCUAUUUCAUAAAAGAUAAGUUUUCCUUUGCAAUUCUUUAAAGAUAAAAUCAGGCUAGUCCUGGUAUUGCUAAAUGACAAAUAUAAAACGAAAAUUAAGGGAAAAACAGGGGGGGGGGGUAUUUCUUCACAUUGUCCCCUCUCUUCCUAAUCGCUGUCGCAGCGAUAAAAUUCUAAGAGUGCAUUUUUUUUUUUUUAAAUCAAAUGCAUUACAUAAAUAGCAUUCAAUAUUCUAAUUCAUGCAACAACAACAAAAUUAUUAAUACAUGUACAUGUGUAUAGAUUUUGCUUUGUUUUGUUAAAUACACUUAUCCUUAAACUUCAAGCUUACGUACUAAUGCCAAUAAUACAUAUUAUUAUUAUUUACUUAUUUUUUUAUACAACUUAUUCAAUCUUCUUCAAUGAGCCCCUCAUCAAAGUAGUGGAUAGACUUUUUUUCCUCAUGCAACCGCUUCCUUCCCUUGGUCACGAUAUACGUGGUCGUAUAAACUUCGACCCUCGAAAUUUGAAUGUAUCCGUGGUUUGGCCUUCGCACCUUGACCACGACUUCCAACGGCUCUUUCUUCUCGCUGUCAAUCAAUACGGAUGCUGGUUCUACCGUCUGUUCAACCUCGUCCGCGACCGUCUCCACCGCCUGCUCCACUGCCUCGUCCUCUUGCUCCACUUUCUCCUUCACCGUCUCAAUCGCCUCGUCCUCUUGCUCCACUUUCUCCUUCACCGUCUCAAUCGCCUUGUCCUCUUGCUCCACUUUCUCCUUCACCGUCUCCAUCGCCUCGUCCUCUUGCUCCACUUUAAAGUUCCCGAUGAAAUAUGUCGGUGGCACAAAGAUAGUAAUUGUAUCCAUUACCCCUCUUUUGUCCUACACUGCACUUGAUGCUCCUCUGGGACUAAAGCCACGGAUGUACCUUGUUAAAAAGUCCCACAGCUCAUCCAUUAUUUUACAUGUAGGACCAUACUUGUCCUGCAGUUGACAAAUCGGGAUGAGCUUAGCGAAGAGCUCAUUCCCUCUGCUCUCAUUGAACUCUCUGUCAUAGGGACAAAUCCCAAAGUAGUACAGCUCAGCUAAAGUGUCAAUACUUCAUGUUGCUCUCUGAGCACCAUGAUAGUGAUUUUUACAAAGAAGGGCAUUUUGGAAGUGAGUCUUAUCUUUUCCAUAGACAUGACAGAAAUCAUCACUAUAGGGCAACAAGCUCUAUUAAAUACAACGAUAAAAUCAAAUCAACAUAAGAAAUUUUAUUAAAAAGUCAACAUGAGAAAUACAUUUCACUUUACAAAUGACAGUCUGUAUAGUGUGUGCAAAGUGACUGCAACAUAUACAUACUUCCAAAUUGGAAUAGUGUACAAGCAUCUACUUUUAUGCAAUAGCAAAUAGACUUUCUGAAUAAGAUAACAUGUGGGCUCAGGGCAAUUUCCCCCCACAAAUGCCAACAAAAGUUGCCAGUCCCAUCAACCACCUCCUCCAUCCUAACCAACUUCAGAUCUUCAUCUUUUCUUCUUGUUUGCUGUGUUCCCACACAACAAAACCUGACCAAAAAAAACAUCAAACAAACAAACAAACAAAAAACAUUUACCAUCUUUUGAUUUUUAAUCCAUUGGGAAGGGUAGGCCUUCUGCACCCUUUCUCUUCUAUCAGGAAGUAUGACAGUUUCAACUGUGAGGCUUAUACCUCAUCCACUUAUCUGGCUCAUGAUGUUGCUCACCACUGUUCCUGUCUUCUCGAUUGCAGAAUUUCCUGAGUUACGGUAAACAAAUCAUUCAAAGUUGGGUCGGUCUGGGUCUCUUGAUCUGUUACGUUUAUUUCCACUUGGGUGGCAUCGUCUUCUGUGAUAAGUUCUCCCCAAGUUGCCUCUACUAUGUGGGGUGUGUCGAGCUUGGCUGGGAAAGCUAAAGGCGAAAUUCAACAGUCUCUACUGUGUGGGUAAUUUCUUGUCCGGUUGUGUACCUCCUUGUGUCGCUCACUAUGGUUCGGCGCUUCUUUAUUGCAGACAUUCCUAAAUGAAAUAAAUCAUUUAAUGUGAGGUCGGUCUGGGUUUCCAUGUUUACUACAUCAAGUUCCACCUGGGUGGCAUUGUUGCCUAUGUUUAGUUCCUCCCAGAUUUCCUCGAUCACGUGGGGUUUGGAGUCUAGCUUGGUGGGGGAAGCUAGCGGUGAUAUGAUAGCCGGAAAUUCUUCGAACUGUACUGGAGUGGCGCUCCGCCUCGGUUUUUUAGGGGUCGAAAACCUUGUUGGCAGAUGCCCGGGCAGAAGAUCCUUGGAAGAUGACUUGUGAUGCCUAUGUUUCCUAUACCUCGGGGCUGUAGGUAGAGUGUGAGGUCCCCUCGUCUACCUAUGUGUUCCCAGCUGAUUUGAUUUGGUUAAAGGAGGUUCGGAGAGGGGAACGGCUUCUAUCUCUAGGCUUACUCAGGCUGACGCCAUGUCUGUCCUUCUCGUGACGUCUCACAACCUCCUCGUUGCUGUUCUGGUAUCUACAUGUUCGGCCCUUGAAGACCAUGGUGAUGUUCUAGUUAUGAUAAUAUCGAAAUAUAUUUAUUACUUCAUGUGCCGAAAUUAGAAAUGAUAGUGUUAUAAGUAAAAAUAAGUAGGCGGACGUCUAUUUCUUUGGGGAUAACGUCUGUCAAAUUUGGCGGUGUUAGUAUUGUUGUCUUUGUUAUGCCAACAAAAGUUGCCAGUCCCAUCAACCACCACCUCCAUCCCAACCAACUUCAGAUCUUCAUCUUUUCUUCUUGUUUGCUGUGUUCCCCCACAACAAAACCUGACCCAAAAAAAAACAUCAAACAAACAAACAAACAAAAAACAUUUACCAUCUUUUGAUUUUGAAGCUAUUGGGAAGGGAAGGCCUUCUGCACCCUUUUUCUUCUAUCAGGAAGUAUGACAGUUUCAACUGUGAGGCUUAUACCUCAUCCACUUGUCUUGCUCAUUAUGUUGCUCACCACUGUUCCUGUCUUCUCGAUUGCAGAAUUUCCUGAGUUAAACAAAUCGUUCAAAGUUGGGUCGGUCUGGGUCUCUUGAUCUGUUACGUUUAUUUCCACUUGGGUGGCAUCGUCUUCUGUGAUAAGUUCUCCACAAGUUGCCUCUACUAUGUGGGGUGUGUCGAGCUUGGUUGGGAAAGCUAAAGGCGAAAUUCAACAGUCUCUACUGUGUGGGUAAUUUCUUGUCCGGUUGCGUGGCUCCUUGUGUCGCUUACUAUGGUUCGGGGCUUCUUUAUUGCAGACAUUCCUAAAUGAAAUAAAUCAUUUAAUGUGAGGUCGGUCUGGGUUUCCAUGUUUACUACAUCAAGUUCCACCUGGGUGGCAUUGUUGCCUAUGUUUAGUUCCUCCCAGAUUUCCUCGAUCACGUGGGGUUCGGAGUCUAGCUUGGUGGGAGAAGCUAGCGGUGAUAUGAUAGCCGGAAAUUCUUCGAACUGUACUGGAGUGGCGCUCCGCCUCGGUUUUUUAGGGGUCAAAAACCUUGUUGGCAGAUGCCCGGGCAGAAGAUCCUUGGAAGAUGACUUGUGAUGCCUAUGUUUCCUAUACCUCGGGGCUGUAGGUAGAGUGUGAGGUCCCCUCAUCUGUCUAUGUGUUUCCAGCUGAUUUGAUUUGGUUAAAGGAGGUUUGGAGAGGGGAACGGCUUUGAUCUCUAGGCUUACUGUCGCCAUGUCUGUCUCUCUCGUGAUUUCUCACAACCUCCUCGUUACUGUUCUUAUAUGUACACGUCCGGCACUUGAAGACCAUGGUGAUGUUCUAGUUAUGAUAAUUUUGAAGUAUAUUUAUUACUUCAUGUGCCGAAAUUAGAAAUGAUAGUGUUAUUAGUAAAAAUAAGUAGGCGGACGUCUAUUUCUUUGGGGAUAACGUCUGUCAAAUUUGGCGGUGUUAGUAUUGUUGUCUUUGUUAUGCCAACAAAAGUUGCCAGUCCCAUCAACCACCACCUCCAUCCCAACCAACUUGAGAUCUUCAUCUUUUCGUCUGAUCUUGUUUGCUGUGUUCCCACAAAACAAAACCUGACCAAAAAAAAAACAUCAAACAAACAAACAAACAAAAAACAUUUACCAUCUUUUGAUUUUGAAUCUAUUGGGAAGGGAAGGCCUUCUGUGCCCUUUUUCUUCUAUCAGGAAGUAUUACAGUUUCAACUGUGAGGCUUAUACCUCAUCCCCUUGUCUGGCUCAUGAUGUCGCUCACCACUGUCCCUGUCUUCUCGAUUGCAGAAUUUCCUGAGUUAAACAAAUCGUUCAAAGUUGGGUCGGUCUAGGUCUCUUGAUCUGUUACGUUUAUUUCCACUUGGGUGGCAUCGUCUUCUGUGAUAAGUUCUUCCCAAGUUGCCUCUACUAUGUGGUGUGUGUCGAGCUUGGUAGGGAAAGCUAAAGGCGAAAUUCAACAGUCUCUACUGUGUGGGUAAUUUCUUGUCCGGUUGUGUGGCUCCUUGUGUCGCUUACUAUGGUUCCACUCUUCUUUAUGGCAGCCAUUCCUAAAUGAAAUAAAUCAUUUACAGUGGGGUCGGUUUGUGUUUCCAUGUUUCCUACAUCGAGUUCCACCUGGGUGGCAUUGUUGCCUAUGUUUAGUUCCUCCCAGAUUUCCUCGAUCACGUGGGGUUCAGAGUCUAGCUUGGUGGGGGAAGCUAGCGGUGAUAUGAUUGCCAGUAAAAGCUUUUCAACACUGAUCAAUAUCGCCCUUGCUUGCUUCCUCUUUCUUUACGUUUGCCGGUCCUUAGUCCACAUCAGAAUCAGACAUAUCCUGAUGAUCCAGUCCUGCAUGAAGUUUAUAGUGUUGCUUGCAAUACAUCAACACAAAGCGUCUUUUCCCAUCACGGGAGCACUGGUGUCCUCUUCUUGUCAGCGCCUGGCACCUUUGGGGCCUGCGACGCACCAAAUCCUGUAUCUCCUCAUCAAUGUAGUUCACGCGAUGCUGCCAGCAAAUUUGUGACUGGUGCCUCAUUUCUCGCUUGCAUAUAUCUCCUAGUCCUCCCUUUGUGAGGCAUAGGCAAUGGUGUCUUACUCGUGCCCACGGUCCAACGUCAGGGUUGAUGUUCUGGGGUGCCGCAUUUCCCUGUCCAAUCUUAAAAAAGGCCAUCAUGAUGGAUGUGAAUAAAGAGUCUGACUUGUACAUGUAUAUACAAUGUACAUGUACAGUGUACUCCAACAAUAAAAAAAACAAUUCAACAUAGUCUGUUCCAACUUUCUAUCUCUGGUUGGAUCACGUACUGGUCAGAAAGCGUUACAAUGUCAUUUUAAUAAGACAAGUGUAAUAUUUUCAGGAAAGUGUGGUGGUAGGGAAAAGACACUGAAACUUCAUGCUGAUCUGCAUUAUCAAUUUCAAACAUUUUUUGCUAUGGUUAUGGAAAUUCCUAUAUGCAUUAAUGGAUGAAGGAUAAAUAUUUGGAUUACCAUGAAGUUUUCAAUACUUGCAGAUUACUGUACAUACACUCUUGCUGGAAUAAUAUAUAUGAGUUAUCCAUUUCCUAUAUCCUUGAUAUUGAUUAGUGAAUAUUAAAAAUACAAACAUUGAUAUUGGUAAAUACAGCAAUUGAUCAGUGAAUGGCUUAUACAUUUACAUCACACACACGCACACAGAUAAACAGUUUGUUUUUUUUGUUGUUUUUUUGGGGGGGAAGCAAUUUUCAACUGUUCAGUUAUUAUCUGCUGCUCUCAAAUUCUGUUGUCUUUCUAUGCACUCCAUAACAUAAUCAACUACCUCCCCAUAUAUGUCAACACCAGCAUCAGCUGAAGGUCUACUGGCAUCAAAUUUGAAGUUGUGCCAGCUCUUGUUCAUUCAGUGAUGGUGAGGUCAGAAGCCAGCCUCCUACAGUAUCAUUGCGAGUGUUGGAUAAAUCAAUAUCAAACAUAUUCAUAAUAUCCCUUGAGAAAUCCUCCGAGUUAAAAUCCAGAACAUUAGCUACUGCUACUGAUGGUCUUUGUACUGACCCAUGUGCAGGUCCUUGUUCCUUAAUUGCCUGGAGUGUGCAACGUUGUUUAAUUGUAUUGGUAAACCUCAACAUGUAUAUACAAAAUUGCAAGCAAUUGGAUCUGUAUCUGAAAGAAAUAGAGAUAAAGAUGAGAAAACAGAGAUGAACAGAAGAAAGAAAUAAGUUAGAAGGAAAGUAGCGAAGAAAGGAGGAGAAGGAAACAGAGCCAAAAGUAUAACAAAUAUCUGUUCUUCAGAAUUAUCCUUUACAGUGUAGGAGCAACGGGUGUAUUUGGUUCCAUACGGAAGUUCAACAGUCUCUACUCUGUGUGUAAUUUCUUGUCCAGUUGUAUGGCUCCUGAUGUCGCUUACUAUGAUUCCACUCUUCUUUAUGGCAGCCUUUCCUGAUUUAAAUAGAUCAUUUACAGUGGGGUUGGUUUGUGUUUCCUUGUUUCCUACAUCGAGUUCCACCUGGGUGGCAAUGUUGACGGUGUUUAGUUCCUCCCAGAUUUCCUCGAUCACGUGGGGUUCAGAGUCUAGCUUGGUGGGAGAAGCUAGCGGUGAUAUGAUUGCAGGUAAAAGCUUUUCAACACUGAUCAAUAUCUCCCUUGCUUGCUUCCUCUUUCUUUACGUUUGCCUGUCCUUAGUCGGCAUCAGAAUUAAACAUAUCCUGAUGAUCCGGUCCUGCAUGAAGUUUAAAGUGUUGCUUGCAGUACAUUAAAACAAGCGGCUUUUCCCAUCAUGGGAGCACUGGUGUCCUCUUCUUGUCAGCGCCUGGCACCUUUGUGGCCUUCGACGCACCGAAUCCUGUAUCUCCUCUAAAGUUGAGGUGAUGCUGCCAGCAAAUCCGUGAUAAAUGUCUAGUGUCUCUCUUACACCUAUCUCCUAGUCCUCCACCGGGCAACCUAAAAGUGCUGUCUUUACUGCCCGGCUGCCAUCCAAAAAAUAAAACCAGCAAAAUAAACCAGUAACACUUACAUAUUACUUCACAAACACUUACAUAUUACUUCACAAACACUUACAUAUUAUUUCACAAACACUUACAUAUUACUUCACAAUCACUUACAUAUUAUUUCACAAACACUUACAUAUUACUUCACAAAUGCCAAUUAAGCUCUCGUGCUUGCGGUAUAACUCGCUCGGUGUUAAAAGGAUGACACACUGCCCCCCCCCCCCCCCUGUGUGUAUUAUGGUUGGUCCACCAAACCCCUGUCUUGCUUGGGUUGCCUCUAUAUUUCUUUGAUUUUGUGACAUCUGGAUAAGGUAAUUUGAUUAUGAGUUUCUUAAGAUCUUGAUACGUAUGGGCGUCGGUAAUAUUCUGCUAGUUCGGUGUAUCUGUAUUAAGAUCUUGGUAGGUAUGGGUGUCAGUAUUCAAGUCUUGGUAGGCAUGGGUGUCAGUAUUCAGGUCUUGGUAGGUAUGAGUGUCAGUGUUCAGGUCUUGGUAGGUAUGGAAGUCUUGCUUGAAUUUUGUCUAGUCCUUUCCAAACAAGAGUGUUGGUAUUCAGGUCUUUGUAGGUAUGGGAGUCUUGCUUGAAUUUCGUCUACCGGUAGUCCUUUCGAAGCAAGAGUGUCGGUAUUCAGGUCAUUGUAGGUAUGGGAGUCUUGCUUGAAUUUUGUCUAGCCCUUUCCCAGCAAGAGUGUCAGUAUUCAAGUCUUUGUAGGUAUGGAAGUCUUGCUUGAAUUUCAUCUAGUCCUUUCCCAGCAAGACCCUGGAUUUCAAUUCAGGUCUUUGUAGGUAUGGAAGUCUUGCUUGAAUUUCGUCUAGUCCUUUCCCAGCAAGACCCUGGAUUUCAAUUCAGGUCUUUGUAGGUAUGGAAGUCUUGCUUGAAUUUCAUCUAGUCCUUUCCCAGCAAGACCCUGGAUUUCAAUUCAGGUCUUUGUAGGUAUGGAAGUCUUGCUUGAAUUUUGUCUAGUCCUUUCCCAGCAAGACCCUGGAUUUCUAUUAAAGUCUUUGUAGGUAUGGAAGUCUUGCUUGAAUUUCGUCUAGUCCUUUUCCAGCAAGACCCUGGAUUUCUAUUCAGGUCUUUGUAGGUAUGGGCGUCUUGCUUGAAUUUCGUCUACCGGUAUUCCUUUCCAAGCAAGAGUGUCAGUAUUCAAGUCUUUGUAGGUAUGGGAGUCUUGCUUGAAUUUCGUCUAGUCCUUUCCCAGCAAGACCCUGGAUUUCUAUUCAGGUCUUUGUAGGUAUGGAAAUCUUGCUUGAAUUUCGUCUAGUCCUUUCCCAGCAAGAACCUGGAUUUCUAUUCAGGUCUUUGUAGGUAUGGGCGUCUUGCUUGAAUUUCGUCUAGUCCUUUCCCAGCAAGACCCUGGAUUUCUAUUCAGGUCUUUGUAGGUAUGGGAGUCUUGCUUGAAUUUCGUCUAGUCCUUUCCCAGCAAGACCCUGGAUUUCUAUUCAGGUCUUUGUAGGUAUGGAAAUCUUGCUUGAAUUUCGUCUAGUCCUUUCCCAGCAAGAACCUGGAUUUCUAUUCAGGUCUUUGUAGGUAUGGGCGUCUUGCUUGAAUUUCGUCUAGUCCUUUCCCAGCAAGACCCUGGAUUUCUAUUCAGGUCUUUGUAGGUAUGGGAGUCUUGCUUGAAUUUCGUCUAGUCCUUUCCCAGCAAGACCCUGGAUUUCUAUUCAGGUCUUUGUAGGUAUGGAAAUCUUGCUUGAAUUUCGUCUAGUCCUUUCCCAGCAAGACCCUGGAUUUCUAUUCAGGUCUUUGUAGGUAUGGGCGUCUUGCUUGAAUUUCGUCUAGUCCUUUCCCAGCAAGACCCUGGAUUUCUAUUCAGGUCUUUGUAAGUAUGGAAGUCUUGCUUGAAUCUUCUUCUAGUCCUUUCCCAGCAAGACCCUGGAUUUCUAUUCAGGUCUUUGUAGGUAUGGAAGUCUUGCUUGAAUUUCGUCUUUUCCUUUCCCAGCAAGACCCUGGAUUUCUAUUCAGGUCUUUGUAGGUAUGGAAGUCUUGCUUGAAUUUCGUCUAGUCCUUUCCCAGCAAGACCCUGGAUCUCUCCUCUUUCCAUCAUGAACAAAACUUUGGCAACUUGGAGUGUUGAUUCAGGGAGUCAAUAAUAUUUUCGCUGAGUACGAUGUCCAAGGAAUCUAGCAAGAACUUCCAGUUCAUUUUCUUGUAGGUUCAUGAUUUGUGACACAGUGGCAAUGUGUUUCCUGUGACAAGUUGCUUGAAGUGUUAUUUAUUUGCCAUGUAAGAAUUAAAGUAAACGUCUAUGUAAAGGACUCGCCCAUAGCUGCACUGUAGUCCAAUGUCCGAUGUUCCUCGAUGCGAUGUUCCGAUGACUGCGUAGACUAUUACUUCUGUAAUGGUGGUGCAACUGUGCUCUCACGAGCGCCGGCGGGCUUAAACCUCUUUAUAUACCCGCGCACGCAUGUACGUGCGAGCAUGGAAAGCCACCCGACGUACGCACAUGCGUGAGGCCCGUAUAGCUACCCAUAAUUUCCCAUAUUCCUCCUAACUAAAUUGGCGAAUGCUCACGAAUAGAAUGGCAGACUCGCAAGUGGCCUUCUCCAGACUUUGCGGCAGUAUAACUGAUUCCUGCAUCUUUUCUCUUCUUGUUCAUUAGAUCAAUCACAGAUUUCAUGGCACUUUUGAAGAUUACAGCCACAGUGCGACAGCGCUUCCCAACAACUUUAACUGUCCAGAGGGAGUGACAGUGCACCAUCAAUGACAUGUCCUUCUCCCUUAGAGUAUUUCUGAAAAUCUGCCAAUGUCAUCUUGGAUAUUUUUCCUUGUCAUUUGCGGUUAAAGACAACCACCUGAACUAAAACUACUUCAAUUACAUUCACUGUUUCAUAAAAAAUCACAUACAAUAUAUAUACAUCGAGAAGUGUACUGGAUCAUCAGCACCCGAUAAAGCCGAUGGCUUGAGGGAAGUAGGUGGACCCAUAACAUAAAUGACAAAUGUGGAAAAUACAAAACACUAAAAUUCACAAUAAAACAAAAUGCAAGACGUAUACAUUAUACAUUACAUUACAAACUAAAACACAAUAAUAAUACAGAACGACAUAAUUUAUAUGGUAAUUGUAUGCAUCAGGGAAGUCAUUUAUAUGUGGCAAGAAGACAGAACUUGAAUUUCGAUUUGAAAGAACUUAGAGUGGUCACAUUUUUGAUUGAGUUGUCAAUAUUGUUCCAUAAUUCACCUCCUACUUCAGCCAGUUUUUUCCAUGUCUUCAAGUCUCUGAGAGUUAUUUUCUUUCUCCAAACUUCACAUGCAAGUCAUUCAGUAAUAUCUCCUGUCAAUGGCAGAAGUUUUAAACUGUUUCUUUUUGUUUCUUGGAGGCUCCUCAAUGCGUGAUGGCUGACUUUGCCUUCCCACUUCAGCUUUUAAUAAUAUAGAGUAUUUGUAAUGCGCCAACUCCACAUGACUAAUGUGUUCAAGACGCAUGUAGAAGAAACACUAUAAGUACACAAAAAUACACAAUAAAAUGAACAACAAUGUGAAAGAAAAUCUAAAUCUUCUGGAAAGCCGCUUUGAACAAUGAGUUUUGAGGGCAUGUUUAAAGCAAUCUACACUUGAAAUAUAACAAAUAUGUUGUUUUUACACAUCAGCACUUUCUCUCAGUAACUCUCUCCCCACUCAUCAAGCUAUCUUAAUGGAGAAUUAGGCAGCAUGCCUUCAUUGAGUGCCCAAUUUUGAGAGCCAGACUUGGUGUUUUGUAGAGUCGUGUUAUAAAUAUAAAUAAAUAAAUAACAACGUUACUUAUAAAGCGCUUUCAACCAAAGUCUCUAAGCGCUAUAA